GUUCGCCGCCCCCCGACKUYGCGAGAAGUCCAUUGAACCUUAUCAUUUAGAGGAAGGAGAAGUCGUAACAAGGUUUCCGUAGGUGAACCUGCGGAAGGAUCAUU
rnacentral:rRNA from 1 species